rnacentral:rRNA from 1 species
GUAGGUGGCAAGCGUUGUCCGGAAUUAUUGGGCGUAAGGCGCGCGCAGGCGGUUCUUUAAGUCUGAUGUGAAAGCCCACGGCUCAACCGUGGAGGGUCAUUGGAAACUGGAGAACUUGAGUACAGAAGAGGAAAGCGGAAUUCCACGUGUAGCGGUGAAAUGCGUAGAGAUGUGGAGGAACACCAGUGGCGAAGGCGGCUUUCUGGUCUGUAACUGACGCUGAGGCGCGAAAGCGUGGGGGAGCAAACAGGAUUAGAUACCCUGGUAGUCCACGCCGUAAACGAUGAGUGCUAGGUGUUAGGGGGUUUCCGCCCCUUAGUGCUGCAGCUAACGCAUUAAGCACUCCGCCUGGGAGUACGGCCGCAAGGCUG